rnacentral:rRNA from 1 species
UACAGAGGGGCGAGCGUUGUUCGGAAUUACUGGGCGUAAAGGGCGCGUAGGCGGCCUUCUAAGUCGGACGUGAAAUCCCUCGGCUCAACCGAGGAACUGCGUCCGAUACUGGUUGGCUUGAAUUCGGGAGAGGGAUGCGGAAUUCCAGGUGUAGCGGUGAAAUGCGUAGAUAUCUGGAGGAACACCGGUGGCGAAGGCGGCAUCCUGGACCGAUAUUGACGCUGAUGCGCGAAAGCCAGGGGAGCAAAGCGGGG